CCUAUAAGACUGGGAUAACUUCGGGAAACCGGAGCUAAUACCGGAUAACAUUUGGAACCGCAUGGUUCUAAAGUGAAAGAUGGUUUUGCUAUCACUUAUAGAUGGACCCGCGCCGUAUUAGCUAGUUGGUAAGGUAACGGCUUACCAAGGCAACGAUACGUAGCCGACCUGAGAGGGUGAUCGGCCACACUGGAACUGAGACACGGUCCAGACUCCUACGGGAGGCAGCAGUAGGGAAUCUUCCGCAAUGGGCGAAAGCCUGACGGAGCAACGCCGCGUGAGUGAUGAAGGGUUUCGGCUCGUAAAACUCUGUUAUUAGGGAAGAACAAAUGUGUAAGUAACUGUGCACAUCUUGACGGUACCUAAUCAGAAAGCCACGGCUAACUACGUGCCAGCAGCCGCGGUAAUACGUAGGUGGCAAGCGUUAUCCGGAAUUAUUGGGCGUAAAGCGCGCGUAGGCGGUUUCUUAAGUCUGAUGUGAAAGCCCACGGCUCAACCGUGGAGGGUCAUUGGAAACUGGGAAACUUGAGUGCAGAAGAGGAAAGUGGAAUUCCAUGUGUAGCGGUGAAAUGCGCAGAGAUAUGGAGGAACACCAGUGGCGGAGGCGACUUUCUGGUCUGUAACUGACGCUGAUGUGCGAAAGCGUGGGGAUCAAACAGGAUUAGAUACCCUGGUAGUCCACGCCGUAAACGAUGAGUGCUAAGUGUUAGGGGGUUUCCGCCCCUUAGUGCUGCAGCUAACGCAUUAAGCACUCCGCCUGGGGAGUACGACCGCAAGGUUGAAACUCAA
rnacentral:rRNA from 1 species